ensembl:snoRNA U3 Small nucleolar RNA U3
CAGAUCCUCAGGGAUCAUCUCUAUAGAUUGUAACUAGAGAAGUUUCUCUAACUGUGUAGAGUACCAGAAACCAGGAGGACAAGACAUAGCACUCUUUCCUGCGCGUGAAGUUGGCUCAUGGUGUUGCUUUUCUGCAACUACCUUUUACUGCUAAUGAUUGUUCUUUCUCCUCCUUUAGGAGCAUUAGAGGGAGAGAGUGCAGUUUGAGUGGU